rnacentral:rRNA from 1 species
UCCGUAGGUGAACCUGCGGAAGGAUCAUUAGUGAAUUUUAGGGUGCUUCUUGCUUUAACACGCAAGAGGGCCUGACCUCCACUCCAACACUGUGCACUUAUCGGCGAAAGGUAAGGGAAGCUGCUGUCAUGGCUUGUGGAACUUCUUUUCGCGGCUUUACUUUAAAACACGAGUAAAAGAAUGUAAAAAAACCAUAACAAAAAAAACUUUCAACAACGGAUCUCUUGGCUCUCGCAUCGAUGAAGAACGCAGCGAAAUGUGAUAAGUAAUGUGAAUUGCAGAAUUCAGUGAAUCAUCGAAUCUUUGAACGCACCUUGCGCUCUCUGGUAUUCCGGAGAGCAUGCCUGUUUGAGUGUCAUGAACUCUUCAACCCACCGGUUCCUUGUUGAACUGCUGUGGUGUUUGGAUUUUGAACGCUGCCAUGUAAUUAGCUCGUUCGUAAUACAUUAGCAUCUCAAUUUCGUAAUCGGAUUGACUCAGCGUAAUAGACUAUUCGCUGAGGACACUCUUUUCAGAGUGGCCGAGACAUGAAGAGUUAGAAGCUUCAAACCCAUCUAGUCAUUUUUUAAGAUUAGACCUCAGAUCAGGCAGGAUUACCCGCUGAACUUAAGCAUAUCAAUAAGCGGAGGA